AACGAACGCUGCGGCAUGCCUAAUACAUGCAAGUCGAACGAGAUCUUCGGAUCUAGUGGCGCACGGGUGCGUAACGCGUGGGAAUCUGCCCUUGGGUUCGGAAUAACUUCUGGAAACGGAAGCUAAUACCGGAUGAUGACGUAAGUCCAAAGAUUUAUCGCCCAAGGAUGAGCCCGCGUAGGAUUAGCUAGUUGGUGGGGUAAAGGCUCACCAAGGCGACGAUCCUUAGCUGGUCUGAGAGGAUGAUCAGCCACACUGGGACUGAGACACGGCCCAGACUCCUACGGGAGGCAGCAGUAGGGAAUAUUGGACAAUGGGCGAAAGCCUGAUCCAGCAAUGCCGCGUGAGUGAUGAAGGCCUUAGGGUUGUAAAGCUCUUUUACCCGGGAUGAUAAUGACAGUACCGGGAGAAUAAGCUCCGGCUAACUCCGUGCCAGCAGCCGCGGUAAAAC
rnacentral:rRNA from 1 species